rnacentral:rRNA from 1 species
GGGCCUUGUACACACCGCCCGUCACACCAUGGGAGUGGGUUGCAAAAGAAGUAGGUAGCUUAACCUCCGGGAGGGCGCUUACCACUUUGUGAUUCAUGACUGGGGUGAAGUCGUAACAAGGUAACCGUAGGGGAACCUGCGGUUGGAUCACCUCCUUACCU